GAUGAUCUUUGAGAGCUUGAUGUCGUACGUGAGCUAGGACGACUUUGAUGCUCACCCACAUUCCCAGAAGAAUCAUAUCCGCUUCU
ensembl:ncRNA F41E7.14 ncRNA